GUGUGUAGGCGGUUGUUUAAGUUUGGUGUGAAAUCUCCCGGCUCAACUGGGAGGGUGCGCCGAAUACUGAAUGACUCGAGUGCGGGAGAGGAGAGUGGAAUUCCUGGUGUAGCGGUGAAAUGCGUAGAUAUCAGGAGGAACACCGGUGGUGUAGACGGCUCUCUGGACCGUAACUGACGCUGAGACACGAAAGCGUGGGUAGCAAACAGGAUUAGAUACCCUGGUAGUCCACGCCCUAAACGAUGCAUAUUUGGUGUGGGCAGUUCAUUCUGUCCGUGCCGGAGCUAACGCGUUAAAUAUGCCGCCUGGGGAGUACAGUCGCAAGGCUGAAACUCAAAGGAAUUGACGGGGGCCCGCACAAGCGGUGGAGCAUGUGGUUCAAUUCGACGCAACGCGAAGAACCUUACCUGGGCUCGAACGGCUGGUCAACGGAGGUGGAAACAUCUUUACCCCGCAAGGGGGUCCAGUCGAGGUGCUGCAUGGCUGUCGUCAGCUCGUGUCGUGAGAUGUUGGGUUAAGUCCCGCAACGAGCGCAACCCUUGUCCUGUGUU
rnacentral:rRNA from 1 species